rnacentral:rRNA from 1 species
UAGGGAAUCUUCCACAAUGGACGAAAGUCUGAUGGAGCAACGCCGCGUGAGUGAAGAAGGUUUUCGGAUCGUAAAGCUCUGUUGUUGGUGAAGAAGGAUAGAGGCAGUAACUGGUCUUUAUUUGACGGUAAUCAACCAGAAAGUCACGGCUAACUACGUGCCAGCAGCCGCGGUAAUACGUAGGUGGCAAGCGUUGUCCGGAUUUAUUGGGCGUAAAGCGAGCGCAGGCGGAAUGAUAAGUCUGAUGUGAAAGCCCACGGCUCAACCGUGGAACUGCAUCGGAAACUGUCAUUCUUGAGUGCAGAAGAGGAGAGUGGAACUCCAUGUGUAGCGGUGGAAUGCGUAGAUAUAUGGAAGAACACCAGUGGCGAAGGCGGCUCUCUGGUCUGCAACUGACGCUGAGGCUCGAAAGCAUGGGUAGCGAACAGGAUUAGAUACCCUGGUAGUCCAUGCCGUAAACGAUGAGCGCUAGGUGUUGGG